UACGGGAGGAUCCAAGCGUUAUCCGGAUUUAUUGGGUUUAAAGGGUGCGUAGGCGGCCUAUUAAGUCAGGGGUGAAAGACGGUAGCUUAACUAUCGCAGUGCCUUUGAUACUGAUGGGCUUGAAUGUACUUGAGGUAGGCGGAAUGUGACAAGUAGCGGUGAAAUGCAUAGAUAUGUCACAGAACACCAAUUGCGAAGGCAGCUUACUAAAGUAUGAUUGACGCUGAGGCACGAAAGCGUGGGGAUCAAACAGG
rnacentral:rRNA from 1 species